UUUUUUUUUUAAACAAACCAGCUCCUUAAACUUGGAGAUAAUGAUAAUUCCUUCUAACCAUAAAGUCUGUAAGAUUUUAUGUUUAAGAGUCCAAUUAGAACCAGUCAGCAGAUAAAGCUUAAAUUCUGUGGUUACUUAGAGGAAAUAAGGAAGGGGCAUAACAUGGGCAUUAUAUUUUCAGGAUUCUUUUCCUCUUAGACUUAAGAAUAGUGGAGGAAAAAACUAAGUGAAAGAGAUGAGACUCCACGGAAAUGUGUGUAUAUGUUAAGGUGGCUAAAACAACAUUACAGAAGGAAGAGUUUUACAAGAAGGAAAACAUCUUUGGCUUCAGACCUUAUCUGUGCUGAUGAGAGUAAUUCACUUCUGUUAAUGAUUACCACAAGACAUAUGAAAACAUAAUCAAAGUAACGCAGGAGGGACCAGCACAAUUUUCAGUGUAUGUUAUGGUGAGCCAAGAAGAUAGUUCAAAAUAGAAGGUGACCUCAAAAUAAUCAGGAGUAUGAUGUCAUUUGGGGCAAUUGUCUACUAGGUCUUUGUCAUGAGAAGAGUUUCAGUAGAGUGAGCAUGGAAUUUACCUACAACAGGGAGCAAUGGAAUCGCUUUGUUUAAAAGCAUACAAACACCCUGAUCUUGGGGAGGGGGUGCAGGAUUACCCUUCUUCCCUAUCUAGGCUGAGUAAUCUUGUCCUGAGGACACCCACCACAUGAAGUAGAAAUCUCCAAAAUUAAUAAGUGAAUUUUGACCCCUGUUAGACACAA
rnacentral:lncRNA from 1 species